rnacentral:rRNA from 1 species
GCAACGCGAAGAACCUUACCUACUCUUGACAUCCAGAGAAUUUAGCAGAGAUGCUUUAGUGCCUUCGGGAACUCUGAGACAGGUGCUGCAUGGCUGUCGUCAGCUCGUGUUGUGAAAUGUUGGGUUAAGUCCCGCAACGAGCGCAACCCUUAUCCUUUGUUGCCAGCGAUUCGGUCGGGAACUCAAAGGAGACUGCCGGUGAUAAACCGGAGGAAGGUGGGGAUGACGUCAAGUCAUCAUGGCCCUUACGAGUAGGGCUACACACGUGCUACAAUGGCGUAUACAAAGAGAAGCGACCUCGCGAGAGCAAGCGGAACUCAUAAAGUACGUCGUAGUCCGGAUUGGAGUCUGCAACUCGACUCCAUGAAGUCGGAAUCGCUAGUAAUCGUAGAUCAGAAUGCUACGGUGAAUACGUUCCCGGGCCUUGUACACACCGCCCGUCACACCAUGGGAGUGGGUUGCAAAAGAAGUAGGUAGCUUAACCUUCGGGAGGGCGCUUACCACUUUGUGAUUCAUGACUGGGGUGAAGUCGUAACAAGGUAACCGUAGGGGAACCUGCGGUUGGAUCACCUCCUUACC